rnacentral:rRNA from 1 species
GCAAGUCGAACGAGAAAGCACUUCGGUGUGAGUAAAGUGGCGCACGGGUGAGUAACGCGUAGGUGAUAUGCCUUUUAGUGGGGGACAACAGUUGGAAACGACUGCUAAUACCGCAUAAGCUUAAGGACAUUGGAAAACUUAGGAAAGGGGGCUUCGGCUCUCGCUAGAAGAUUGGCCUGCGUGACAUUAGCUUGAUGGUGGGGUAAUGGCCUACCAUGGCUACGAUGUCUAGCUGGUCUGAGAGGAUGAUC